rnacentral:rRNA from 1 species
UAUAGAUGGACAUGCGUUGUAUUAGCUAGUUGGUGAGGUAACGGCUCACCAAGGCAACGAUACAUAGGGGGACUGAGAGGUUAACCCCCCACACUGGUACUGAGACACGGACCAGACUCCUACGGGAGGCAGCAGUGAGGAAUAUUGGUCAAUGGACGCAAGUCUGAACCAGCCAUGCCGCGUGCAGGAAGACGGCUCUAUGAGUUGUAAACUGCUUUUGUACGAGGGUAAACUCACCUACGUGUAGGUGACUGAAAGUAUCGUACGAAUAAGGAUCGGCUAACUCCGUGCCAGCAGCCGCGGUAAUACGGAGGAUUCAAGCGUUAUCCGGAUUUAUUGGGUUUAAAGGGUGCGUAGGCGGUUUGAUAAGUUAGAGGUGAAAUCCCGGGGCUUAACUCCGGAACUGCCUCUAAUACUGUUAGACUAGAGAGUAGUUGCGGUAGGCGGAAUGUAUGGUGUAGCGGUGAAAUGCUUAGAGAUCAUACAGAACACCGAUUGCGAAGGCAGCUUACCAAACUAUAUCUGACGUUGAGGCACGAAAGCGUGGGGAGCAAACAGGAUUAGAUACCCUGGUAGUCCACGCAGUAAACGAUGAAAACUCGUUGUCGGCGAUACACAGUCGGUGAGUAAGCGAAAGCGAUAAGUUAUCCACCUGGGGAGUACGUUCGCAAGAAUGAAACUCAAAGGAAUUGACGGGGGCCCGCACAAGCGGAGGAACAUGUGGUUUAAUUCGAUGAUACGCGAGGAACCUUACCCGGGCUUGAAAGUUACUGACGAUUCUGGAAACAGGAUUUCCCUUUGGGGCAGGAAACUAGGUGCUGCAUGGUUGUCGUCAGCUCGUGCCGUGAGGUGUCGGGUUAAGUCCCAUAACGAGCGCAACCCCUACCGUUAGUUGCCAUCAGGUCAAGCUGGGCACUCUGGCGGGACUGCCGGUGUAAGCCGAGAGGAAGGUGGGGAUGACGUCAAAUCAGCACGGCCCUUACGUCCGGGGCUACACACGUGUUACAAUGGUAGGUACAGAGGGUCGCUACUCCGUGAGGAGAUGCCAAUCUCGAAAGCCUAUCUCAGUUUGGAUUGGAGGUUGAAACCCGCCUCCAUGAAGUUGGAUUCGCUAGUAAUCGCGCAUCAGCCAUGGCGCGGUGAAUACGUUCCCGGGCCUUGCACA